rnacentral:sRNA from 1 species
CAAACCAAAAAAAAAUCAAAAAAAAAAAUCAAGAACAAA